rnacentral:lncRNA from 1 species
GCUCUUAUAGGGCGGCUAAUGGGCGGUUAUCGGCCUAACAUACAUGUUCACUAAAUAUCUCUUAUUCUCCUCGUCUUAGAAAUAAUGAAUUGCCAUAAAAAAAAAUAUUUUAGAGGCAAUAUGAUGUAGCUAAUGAAACAAUCGCCAUCAGCAUGUAGAUUAUAAAAUAGAUAAAUUCACUACUAGUUCAGUAUCGAGAAAAAUAAAACAGAACUAUCUUAUGUUAGAGGACACACUACAUGUGUACUCAUAAGCUUCAGAUAUAACC